UAAAAUGUUUGAUUAUGUUACAGUGGUUUCUGCUGGAAGUGUCUCAGGACAAAAACGCAAACUAGGAGGUAAAAGAUAAAAAUAAUACUUUAAUUAUAUUUUUAUUUUUUGACUUUCGUUUGAAUUGAAUAUAACGUAAUUUUACAACCUUGUUUAAGGUGAAGAUGAUGAUUCCACAAAUUCAAAACGAAAUAAGGGUUAUGGCCCAAACAGUGUGCCAUCGACCUCAACUUACGAGAUUUCUGAUAAAAUGGCACCACAUCAUUCAGAAAUAGUAGUUUCUGCUGGAGGAGUCUCAGGACAAAAACGCAAACUAGAAGUUCUCUGGAGUUGCUCCGCCCUAAACGUGAUACUUCGAAGCCUGAUAUAACGCCCGGAGCGACGACAUUUCAUUGCAUGUUUGAGAAAAAAUUGUUAUUUUCUCAAACAUACUUCGAAAUGUAUGCGU